rnacentral:rRNA from 1 species
GUCUAUGGCCAUGCCACCCUGAACAAGCCUGAUGUCUGAUCUCGGAAGCUAAGCAGGGUCGGGCCUGGUUAGUACUUGGAUGGGAGACCACCUAGGAAGACCAGUUGCUGUAGGCA